GUACUGACCUGGCAGGGAAGAUACCAUCACCAUGAAGGUGGUUUUCCCAGGGUAAGGCUUAUCCAUUGCACUCCCAUGUGCUGACCCCUGUGAUUUCCCCAAAUGUGGAAAACUUGACUGCAUAAUUUGUGAUAGUGGG
rnacentral:snRNA from 1 species